rnacentral:misc_RNA from 1 species
GUGAAUUAAACAGUGCUUGGUGUCUUCGCUUCGGCAAGGCCCUUGCUUAAAUCACAUCCUAACACCUGUGAACUGUAAGACGUAUGAUGAGGUCUUUGGCCAAGUCAUCGUCUGCCCAUUUUUAACAAACAAUUAAUGUAACAAACGUAGUCUUAUUAUAACCUAAUA